GUGACAAGUUAAAAUUAUUAUUGAAUCAUCACAUAGUUCAAAUUGGCACACUAUUUUGGAUCGGUACUUUCUUCAAGAGAAUUACACUUGAAAUUGGAUCGUCAUCUCCUUCAGUAUGACAUGCUAUACCAGUGAGCAGAGGAAUCCAUUCAAAUAGCGUAACAAGAAUGGGAGGACAUGAUCAUGAUGAGUCAUUCUAUCUUCAUGCUAAGCACAUGUAUAACUUAGACAGGACAUUGGUGUUAUAAUCCUAGUUUAUGCUAUCGUUUUCCACCAAAAGAAAACUGCUUUGGGUUAGAUCAGCUUCUUAUUUGGGUCUCCUGCAAAAUAAUGCAGUUCAACGUUUAUCAUUGUCAAGACUAAAACCAAUUUGUUUCAAAGCUUUUGUUUGCUUUCAAUUUUAGUAACGUUUAGCUAUGACCUUUGCUCUUUUUUUUUUCCCUUCAAGGAUAAUAAGGGCAUUUGUGCCUGAUUCUUAAAUAAUAUUUUCUGAAAGCACCAACUCAAUUGGAGUUUUCUGUUAUCCUAUGUACCGCCCGCAAUUUGAGAUCUUUCUUUCUGAAUGACUUGAUUUUGAUCACUGCAUCGAUGUUAUGUUUUUAGUUUUAUCUUUCAAAAACAGCUAAAACAAUACCCUCUUUGGUCAACCACAUACAGAAAGUGUGCUAAUUUCAGAUAUGAUUUAUCUGUUCACAGGUGUAAAUGACAAAUAUUUAUAAGAAUUUUUAAAAAUAAAUGUAACGACACGAUAUCGUAUACCGUCUAAGAUAAUCACCAAUAAAUGAGACAAUAAUGUUAGGGGAUAUUGCAUGGAAUAUUUAUUAUUUGUUAUCCCAUGUGCAACUUGAUAUCUCUCUUUCUGAAUGACUUGUCGAUUUACUUUUUUAAUUUUAUUUCAAAAAUACCUAAAACAAUACCCUCUUUAAUCAACCACAUGCAAAAAGUGUGUUAAUUUCAAAUUUUAUUUGUAUGUUCACAGGUAGGUAGAUGUAAAUGACAAUUUUUUAUAAGAUUAUUUUAAUAAAUGUAACGACACUACCUGUAUAUCGUCUAAGAUAAAUUACAAUUAAAUGAGACAAAUUAAUUACAGGAUCAUGCAUGUAAUAUCUAUUAUUUGUUAUUCCAUGUACUACACAUUUUCUACAUUUUGAAAUCUUUCUUUUUGAAUGACUUGAUUUCAUGUUUGCGCCGAUUUUAUAUUUUUCAUUUUAGGUGAAAUGGUCUGAUGGACCCUUACACCUGUAUCAACUUGUAUUCUGGACCAUUCUACUUAUUUUUUUGUCAACUGAACUCUUAGACUCAAUUAUAACGAGAUUUUUAAGUCCUUCCAACAAUGUGUAUAGUUCACUCUCCUUUACAUAAAUGACAUGUCAUAAAAACAUCAGAUAUAUUAUGACAUGUCAUAAUUAUUAUAUUACUAUUUUUAAGAUUAUUUAAUAAAAGGUAAAAUAAUAAAAUUUAAUUUAUUCUUUAGAGUAUAAUUUCACCAUUUCCCGUUCAACUUUUUUGUCAGCUUCAUUACUCGAAUUUCAUGUUUUGCAUUUUCAUACGUUUUUAUGUGUUUUGUUUGAUCUAUUGAUAUGUUUGUUUAAUGAGUAAAAACAGCGGUGAAGCUUUUGGUGAGCUAUAAUGGAAAAAUGAGAACUCCGUACAUUCAAUUUCCCCAUUUCACACCCAAAAUCUACAAAGAAAGUCAUCACCGCCGCCGUCGCCAUUUUUACCGGUGAAAGUGAUAUGCUCUCUCCCUCACCUGUCUACAUCUCCAGCGCACACUAUCAUCAUUUUCCUUUCCAUUUCCAACCUCAACCUAACUCAUCGCACCACCAGAUCUAGCCGAAAAACCUCUUCACCGCCAUGAACUCGCACCUCACCCACCUCGUUCUCCUCUACAUUGACUAGUGUCGCCACUAUCUCUCUUAAUUCACUAUGAAUAGUGGUCUCUGGGGUGCACCACCAACGCUGCUUCUCUCUCUCACUUCACUGCGAUGCAGUGCUUCAACGAGUACCACCAACGCCGCUUUCUCCCUCCGCGAUGAAUCAAUGAACUCAAGUUAUACCCAAAUUCUGAUAAAUUGUUGUUAAUAGAUUCUAAAGAAGAAAAAAAUGAUUGGGUUUGGGUUGAAAAUGGAUGAAAAAGGAGAGUGAAAUAGUUGUAAGCAAAAAAUAGGGAAUUGAUUUUGCCAGUUAAUAUGGACGUCUUUUCAUCGAAUGCAGUGCAAAGACAAGAGUUGAGUGGAACAAUGUCGGGGCUUGUCUUUUCCCUCUCUUUUGUAAAACAAAAUGAUGUAAUUACUUGGAGAUGACAAACUCUGUUUCUAUCCUUCACGUUUGUAGUUUGUUUUACUGAAUGUUCCUC